UACGUAGGGUGCGAGCGUUGUCCGGAAUUAUUGGGCGUAAAGAGCUCGUAGGCGGUUUGUCACGUCUGCUGUGAAAUCCCGAGGCUCAACCUCGGGCCUGCAUCCGAAACUGCCCGACUAGAGGUAGGUAGGGGAGAUCGGAAUUCCUGGUGUAGCGGUGAAAUGCGCAGAUAUCAGGAGGAACACCGGUGGCGAAGGCGGAUCUCUGGGCCUUACCUGACGCUCAGGUGCGAAAGCUAGGGGAGCGAACAGG
rnacentral:rRNA from 1 species